GUACUCGCUUCAGCAGCACAUAUACUAAAAUUAGAAUGAUACAGAGAAGUUUAGUAUGGGCCCUGCACAAGCAUGACAUGCAAAUUCGUGAAGCAUUCCAUAUUUUU
ensembl:snRNA U6 U6 spliceosomal RNA